ACCCGCUGAACUUAAGCAUAUCAAUAAGCGGAGGAAAAGAAACCAACAGGGAUUGCCCUAGUAACGGCGAGUGAAGCGGCAACAGCUCAAAUUUGAAAUCUGGCCCUAGUGGUCCGAAUUGUAAUUUGUAGAGGAUGCUUUGGGCGCGGUGCCUUCCGAGUUCCUUGGAACAGGACGCCUUAGAGGGUGAGAGCCCCGUACGGUUGGACACCAAGCCUAUGUAAAGCUCCUUCGACGAGUCGAGUAGUUUGGGAAUGCUGCUCUAAAUGGGAGGUAAAUUUCUUCUAAAGCUAAAUACCGGCCAGAGACCGAUAGCGCACAAGUAGAGUGAUCGAAAGAUGAAAAGUACUUUGAAAAGAGGGUUAAAUAGCACGUGAAAUUGUUGAAAGGGAAGCAUUUAUGACCAGACCUUUGCUAGGUGGAUCAUCCGGUGUUCUUCACCGGUGCACUUCGCCUAGCUUAGGCCAGCAUCGAUUUCUGUAGGGGGAUAAAGGUCUAGGGAACGUAGCUCUCUUCGGAGAGUGUUAUAGCCCUGGGCGUAAUACCCUUACGGGGAUCGAGGUUCGCGCUUCGGCAAGGAUGCUGGUUGGCUCAUGACCCGUCUUGAAACACGGACC
rnacentral:rRNA from 1 species